GGCCCACGCCUUUAAUCCCAGCACACAGGAGGCUGAAGCUGGAGGAUCUCUGUGAGUUCAAGCACUGGUGAUGAGCUGGCAAUGGGCACCAUGAAGAGACAAAUAGGGGAACAUGUUAACAAUGGAUUCAUCCUUUGCUUUGCAGUGGGAGGAGUUGAUCACUGUAAUCAAAGUAUAAAGUGAGCUGACUCAACCUAAGCUGCAGCUGUACUAAGGAUCAACCUCCUACUGGUUAACCACUGCAUUUAAGAAAUGACAGCCACACACGAGUUAACAUGGAAAAAGAAAAAGAGAUGACAGCCAAGCAGUAGUGGUGCACACCAUUAAUUCCAACCAGCACUCGAGGCAGAGGAUGAAGAUCUCUGUGAGUUUGAGGAUAGCCUGGUCUACAGAGCAAAUUCUAGGACACAAAGAAACCCUGUCUCAGAAAUGUCCUUCUUUGGUUUUCAACUGAAAGCACAGACAGUCUGUCACUCUGAGCCAGAGAGACCACCAAAAGUUCGGGGAACUCCAUGGCCUGUGAGUUUCGAUCCUUUCGAUAAAGGCGGCUUCUGUAGCUCUAUUAAGAUUAGAACUGCUCUUCCAGCAUUCACAUGAUUAUUUCAGUUCUCAGCAGAAGCACAGGCCUACCAUCAAGCACUUCAUUCUCAUCUCACAGAUGAGUGUCCUAUAUAACCUGGAUGCUACUAUAGGUUUACUCUGUGUGGUAAAUUAAUCUUGAUUGCCAAUAUGAUUGCAUGAAAAAGAAACCUGUGUUAGUAAAACACCCUACUGGAUUUGUCUGUGAGGACUAGUCUCUGAUCUCAUCUGUCAUGGAUUCUAUUGUGAAGAAACUGUUGGGAGGUGGCCUUGCAGGAGAAGUAGGGCAGUGUUGGGACCCUACUGGGUGACCUAAGGUAUCCUUGGUGUUAUCUGGCCUCCAGAUUAGGCAUUCACUUCCGUCUUCUUCCCUCCUCCUGCCUAGGCCUGUAUUCAAGAAUGCAAAUUAUCCACCCAUUGCCAGAGGGCUUGGGGACAUGAGCCUUGACCUAAGUAAAGUCCCACUGUGGCUGCUGUUGGUAUAUAAGUCUACUCCCCUCUGAAAUAAACCACAUUCUCCUUGUAAGAAUGA